GAUGAACGCUGGCGGCGUGCCUAAUACAUGCAAGUCGAGCGAACAGACGAGGAGCUUGCUCCUCUGACGUUAGCGGCGGACGGGUGAUUAACACGUGUAUAACCUACCUAUAAGACUGGUAUAACUUCGGGAAACCGGAUCUAAUACCGGAUAAUAUAUUGAACCGCAUGGUUCAUUAGUGUAAGUCGGUUUUGCUGUCACUUAUAGAUUGAUCCGCGCCGCAUUAGCUAGUUGGUAAGGUAACGGCUUACCAAGGCAACGAUGGGUAGCCGACCUGAGAGGGUGGUCGGCCACACGGGAACUGAGACACGGUCCAGACUCCGACGGGAGGCAGCAGUAGGGAAUCUUACGCAAUGGGCGAAAGCGUGACGGAGCAACGCCGCGUGAGUGAUGAAGGUCUUAGGAUCGUAAAACUCUGUUAUUAGGGAAGAAGAAAUGUGUAAGUAACUAUGCACGUCUUGACGGUACCUAAUCAGAAAGCCACGGCUAACUACGUG
rnacentral:rRNA from 1 species